rnacentral:lncRNA from 1 species
UAAAACUCACCUCUUCUACAAAUGGGUGACUACCUCGAUGGAAAAACAGAACCCACAAGAUACUGACCUCAGUACCUUAAAUGGCAGCAUACAGAUGAAUGAAGAUAUGUUAAUGUCAGCAUUGAUUUUAUAAUCCCUCAGCAGAAACUCAAAUGGGAUCUGAUGUCUGCCAUGACUUUUUUAUUCUUAUGGAAUAAGUAUGGUUUAAGAAACUAUGGCUUCAUUGUUUGUAAGGCAAAUAUUUCCAACUUUGCUGUAUUCCUUGACAAUCUGCCUUAAGGAAGAAUAUAUGACUUACUCUUUGCCUAAAAAUUUUGUUU